GGAGAGGUAGCCAAGCCGGUCAAGGCGCUGGCCUGAAAAGCCAGAGAUAUCAGUUCGAUUCUGAUCCUCUCCACCA
rnacentral:tRNA from 1 species